GGGUGUAGGCGUGUCGGUGGCAAGUGAGCAGCAUAAUGCAGUGCCGGCAGAUGGGUGGCUGUGGUCUCUCGCCCCCUGGAGAGACUGAUAACGGAGGUGUAGCUGUCGCUCGGAGCGGAGGCCAGGGGUAACUGGCGGCCGGUGGCGAGGUCAUCUCAUUGAUCUGAGAGAUUGACCUGAUCAACCUCCCCCCACCCCCAGACACACACAAGCGCACCUUUUCACCUGACCUCUGACCUCUGAUCUGCAUCAGUAACGAGAGAAAAAAAGCAGGAAGUCCGAACCAGGAUGGAUCCACAGGUGAUCCUAGCAGCGCUGCCACCGCACCACCCGCCCGCCACUUUGGAGCUCAGGCGGACAUUCUGGCUCAGACUCGGCUUCUCUGAACUCCUGUAAGCCCGAGAGUUACAUGCGUGGAGAUAGCCGUGAUUCAAAGCGAACCGGGCGAGCGAAGCCCUUUGAAGCCUUCUGUGGCCGGAGGGGAUUAAUUCACCUUUUUCUGACGAAAAAGACGGGACUCAACGACACUCCGAUCAGCCCACUCUCUCUCUCUCUCUCUCUCUCUCUCUCUCUCUCUCUCUCUCUCUCUCUCUCUCUCU